AACAUACCCUAACGCGGCAUCUGGACUUUGCCAACUUUUGCUCCCCCAGCAUCAGUGACCAAACAAACCCGUUGUUGACCCACAGAAGUUUGCAAUCAUUGCACGGGGCAAAAGUGAUAUUCUGAUAUGUUGUCACAACCAUUGCCUAUUUUUUGAUUGCCCAGUUUCUGCAUUUUGCCAAGUGCCUGAGGUGAGUGCACAGCAGGUGGAGUUUCCAAAAUUGGAAGACUUGAUCAGUUGGUGUGAAGAGUUCCAGCCAUGACCAGGAUGAAGGCAUUGCUGGCCAGGCAGCAUUUAUUGCCCAUCCCUACUUGCCCAGAAAACAGUUAACAAUCAACCACUUUGCUGUGGGUUUGGAGUCACAUAUAGGCCAGACCAGAUUGUUGCAUAACUCUUCUUCCGAUACCCUACUUUGGAAACAUUUUUGAAGAUGAUUUUACCAGGAUUCGGAAUGGUAAUUCAAGCAGAGACUCCUUAAUGAAUCACAAAUUCUGAGUAUUUACUUCUGGGAUUUAUUAACCACAGCUCUGAUUAU